GACGAACGCUGGCUGCGUGCCUAAUACAUGCAAGUCGAGCGAGCUUGCCUAGAUGAAUUUGGUGCUUGCACCAAAUGAAACUAGAUACAAGCGAGCGGCGGACGGGUGAGUAACACGUGGGUAACCUGCCCAAGAGACUGGGAUAACACCUGGAAACAGAUGCUAAUACCGGAUAACAACACUAGACGCAUGUCUAGAGUUUAAAAGAUGGUUCUGCUAUCACUCUUGGAUGGACCUGCGGUGCAUUAGCUAGUUGGUAAGGUAACGGCUUACCAAGGCAAUGAUGCAUAGCCGAGUUGAGAGACUGAUCGGCCACAUUGGGACUGAGACACGGCCCAAACUCCUACGGGAGGCAGCAGUAGGGAAUCUUCCACAAUGGACGCAAGUCUGAUGGAGCAACGCCACGUGAGUGAAGAAGGGUUUCGGCUCGUAAAGCUCUGUUGGUAGUGAAGAAAGAUAGAGGUAGUAACUGGCCUUUAUUUGACGGUAAUUACUUAGAAAGUCACGGCUAACUACGUGCC
rnacentral:rRNA from 1 species